UUAACCGGCACCAACCGGGAACACAGCCACACCGGAAGUUACCUUGGGCUAAGUCAAAACGUAGCACUUCCGCUUCUCAGCGGAAGACGCCGUGCCGCCUUCUUAAGUGAGGGCAAAGAGCGCCUUCUGACAGUGACGGCAACAAACAAAGACACUAUCACCUCACAACAACAAACGUACCUAAUGAUUCAAAGUCCCAUGAUUCCUACCUUAUAUCUACUCCCUAAAGUCCACAAUCAGGCCACUAAUCCACCAGGUAGGCCAAUCACGUUGAAACGUUAUAAUAUGUGGAAACCUAUUUGUAAACUAAUAGACCAUGUCCUGAGACCGCAGGUUGAGACGUUACCCUCCUAUAUUAAAGACACCACAGAUACCCUACGAAGAAUGGAAGAUAUACAAUUAGAUGACGACAUGUGCAUAGUUACAAACGACGUGGAGUCCUUGUAUACAUCAAUCCGACGGCAAGAUGGACUUCGGGAAGUUUGAGAAUUCCUUAGGAUGUCAGAAAUUGACAAGGAUAUAGGGCUUUCUGGAGAAUCUGCAGAUAUUUAGGACAACUUUGAACAUGAAUGACCAGAACAUCACACUCACCUACAAAGCAGGUAGAAAUCGUAUGGAUUUUCUGGACAUUUCCUUUGGAGUUGACCAUAAGGGAUGAGAUGUUUGAGAACCGAGCCAUCAAACUUUGGAACAGAUUCUCCGAGAGAGGCUACAAGGACAACUGGAUUCGCUGGGCCUAUUUAAGGGCCAAGCACACCAGUAGGAGAAGUCUACUGCAACCCAGAAAUAGGAACAAGAAGGACAACCAGGCAUGACUACACGUGAACUUAAGAAAAGAAUCAGAGAACAUGUCCUUGGGAUCCUAUCAGCGAAAAACAAAAUGGACCUCACACGUCUGACAACUGUUCCCAGAUAUUUCAAGAUACACCAUGACUGUGACCCAAAAGGCCUGAAGGUCGGCCGAAUCCCUCUCCUACACGCUCUGACAUUGUUACAUGUUUUCUCUGCGUCCUUUGCACAUGUCCUUUUCAUUUUCCAUUCUAUGCUUUUAAAUGUAUGUCCGAUUUUUGAUAUAGAUUAAAUAAAAUCUACCA